AACAGAAUCUUAACCCAAAAGAAGAAUGAGCCAAGAACAUGAACAGACAAUUCAAAGAAAAGGAAAUGACCUUUAAACAUAUGAAACAAUGUCCAACUUCAGGCAAUAAGAGAAAUGCACUUAUUAAGACUACAAGAAAAUGCCUUAUUUUUUCAUCUAUCAGUCUUGCAAAGAUUUGAAAGUUGACUAUUAUAUCAUUUUGACAAAAAGGGAUCUGGUCUUCAACAAGUACAGGAAAGAAUCUCUUCUAGCAGUGGGAAGAAAAAGUGCAAACUUUGGACCCAUUACAUGGUGGAAGCUUCAGAAAUCUUUGUGCUAUGAAUAAGAGCAAGCCUCCACGUGGGAAGCAGAGCGUUUGUCUGGACUGCUGUGACUUGUGACUCUUCUGUAGUCAUGUGUAACAUGUGGA
rnacentral:lncRNA from 10 species